AGGAAGAGAAAGAGACGGUGGAUGGAGCAGAUGAAGGGGAAGAAGAGGACCUGGAGAUGGAGUGAUACGGCGGAGGGGAGGGGCGGAGGGGUAAAGUAGAACCACCUGUGGUUGAAAACAACAUUCUUGCGACUGGCUGCAUUGCUAACUGCCUGGCACCCUCAUCACGCUCGUGUGCUGGCGGUUAAGUGUAAUGGCCAUGUGUGUUUUGCAGACAUGUGAGCGUGUGUGUGAGUGUGUGUGUGUCAGAGUACUGUACAUGUGUGUUUACAUGCUACUUCGCUGCCCUGAUGGUCGGUCGGUCGAUCUAAAUUACAUGGCUGGCCAGAGCAGAUUUAGCGACAGAAUAAAACAGCUGGAACCGAAAAAACCCCAACCACCAGUUUGAGGUGAUUGUUUCAGCUGUCUGGAUGUGUUUUUGUGUUCUUGUUGUUUUCCUGCGUGUGUGUGUGUGUGUGUGUGAACGGUUAUUCUUACUACGCUGAAACAGCCGCCCGCGAAACACACAAGUCUUGGCCGCCACGGCCGCCGCCGUCUCGGUGCGUGUUUGUCGCACCCGUUCCCAGGAGCGCCACAGAGGCCUCUGUGGCCACGACAGCUGUAAGCUGUCAUCCGACUGGUGAUCGGCACAAUUACCCACGAGAUUGAACCACAAGUUCGCGAAGGCCACAGGCAAAAUCUCAAGAGGCUGGAUCUGCUCACACAGAGUGAUACGACAUCCAAACAGCAGCCACAGAUUCUGUAAUCGAUUUUUUUUUUUUUGCCACUUGGGGGCAGAGAAACUCCACAACAAGUUAAAACCCCACAAAGCUUUUGACGUGUCGUCACCUUAUGAAGUUGUUGCGUUAGCGGAGGGACAUGGAGCAACGUAACACAUUGUUGUCCACCUGAUGAAUACAAGUCAGACUUGAAGAGUGCACGGAGAACCCAAGACGAAUGCCUUGUCUCGCAACAUUUAAGAAAGUGAAAGAAAAAGAAUGGAUCUGCCCGUGUAUCGUGAUCCGCUCUUUCAUGCCCCAUCGCUCCGCAAAAUGUACAAAAAGUCGUUUUUUAAGUUAUCGUGUUGGAAAAAGAAGGAAAACCCCAAUAAUAUUCCCCUGUCCUUUUUUCUCUGUUUUGGUCUCCACCAUCUUCUCUCCAGCCGGUACAUGUUCCACAGCCUGUACCGGCUGCUCGUCUCUCACAGUGUCCGUCUGCUGUGGACAGGGGCUUCAUCAGAGCUUGUUUGCUGAAACCAGCUGCUGCUGGAAAUAGAUUUUGAUGAAAGCGCCGAGACUGAACCAGGAGCAAGAGGUUAAAACAAAGCUGCAGAGCUGCUGACACUUCUCUUUGUGUUGAGGACGGACACGAUGUGAGGAAAAUAACAUUGUUCGAUACUGUUAAGAUGAUGACUUGUUGCGACACCAAACCAUUUUAAGGGUAUCGACUGAGUCAGUAUCACCAUGUAGCAAAUUUACGCCAAACGGUGGGGACGUGAGUCCACCCAACUCCAGACCAGUGGGUGGCGGUAAUGCACCAAAAUCGUUUUUGCCAACCGCCAAUAAAACCAGGAAGAAGAGGAGACCAAACACCAUCUCACUUGAGGAAACACCGGGUCAAAUGACCGAAGGGGCGAUCAGUCGCGGCACACUCAUUCGAUAGGGUGAAUAAAAACUUUAACGUGAGCACGCCUGCCGCCAUUUAACCCUCCAUGGACGACAAAGAUAUCAAGGACAUCACAAGAAUUAAAAAAACAACCAGCAGGAACAGAAGACGUUUGUUGAAACGAGUCUCGACGGACCAGAGGGUCCAAGGUGUCGUAGUCGACCGUCACGGAGCCGCCGUUGUGCCACAGCUCUCGUCCUGCACAUGGAGGAACAACACACACACCAGCAGACGCAGAGGAAAAGCAACAGCUCCACUUUUCCAUCGACUGGGAACCGCGGAUCUGGAGCGGUUCAUAAGAGAGAGAUCAGACAGGUGAGGUCCCUGAACGUCACACACACCUGCUCGACAGAUCCAGGGUCCAAGACACACUUCCACUCACCAUGAUGUCGCCUGUGAGCAGCUGGGCCGGCUGCAGCACGACGUACAGUCGGUCCGUCCGUCCGCCGCUGACGUGGCUGCAGUGGAGGUGAACACGUGUUACCUGCUUCAUCGUGUGUGUGUGUGUGUGUGUGUGUGUGUGUGUGUGUGUGUGAGUGUACACAGACGUUUACAUGAUGAUGUGCUGUGUUUCUUACUAAACUGCUGAUGUGCACACGGCCUGCAGACUCUGGUAGACUCUCAGAAAGAGACAACAGCCUGAGAAAAAACACAAAGACUAAAACUGAUUAAAAACCAAAUGGAUGCACUUGAAUAACUUCGGUCCACUUUUGGGACUUUCAGCCUCAAACAGAGAAAAGGACGUUGUACUUAACAUAUGAUAUGUACAAUCAUAAUUAUCCAGUCGAGAGGGAAAACACAUGGAGGAUCCACAUGCUGCCUACUGUACCUCCGUCCGCUCGUGUUGUGGGGAGACCGUGAAGGACGACGCAGAGGAGGAAAGUCGGAGAGGGACACAUCCUCAGUCGUCCUCUUAACAAACUGCCCAACAUCCACACGUACCUGGAGGGAAGAAACCGACACGUUCAUCCUGUCACCUCCAACAGGGACGUUCUCUUUGUCUGUUUGUUUGUUUGUCAGCAGGAUAUCGCAAUAACUACAGAACAGAUUUUUAAAAACAAACUUGGUGGGAGGAUGGAACAUGGGCCAAAGAACCAGUUAAAGUUGUCGAGUAUCCAGACAACGGGUCAAAUCCAGGAUUAUUUUUAUAAUCACUGUGGUGUCAAUUUCUCAUAUUAUCAUGUAUUAACAUUAUCUGUGAGAGAUAGGACAUUUUUUGACAUUUUCACCAAUUUCCCUUGGAAUAAUGGAUGAUUUGAUGAAAAAUAUCGUUCUCCCAAAUAUCUUUUAAAGAGGACUGAUAUCUGAGAGUUUGUGCAAUUUGGUGCAGAUACAAAGAAAAAAUGCAGAUCAUGCACAUUUAAAUGUG